GGGGGUGGGUGGGCGCCGGUGCGUCCCGCGGGCUUCAACCCCGUUGUGCGGUGCUGAGAGGCAACGCAGGUCGGUUCGACUCCGAUGCACCCUCGCCA
rnacentral:tRNA from 1 species